rnacentral:lncRNA from 1 species
UCCCGGCUCUUUUUGGACACACGCUCGCGCGUACGCGUGUGCUAGCUAGCUGCAUCGCGGAUCGAUCAGCAGCAGCUGGCUAGCCGAAGAAGUGGUGCUUCUUCUUCCCCUCGCCGCGGCCGGACUCCUCGUCCUCGGCGUCCUCCGCCGACUCCUUGUACUCCUUCUUCUCGUGGUGCUCGUGGAACGCGUACCCGCCGCUGCCAAUGGCCGCCACCGCCGCCACUUCCUCCUCGAUCUUAUGCCGGUGCGCGUUCUCCGGGUCCUUCUUCACCUGGUGCUUCUCGUACUACACACAUGCACACACUGGCCGUUAAUUCGCACCAUCAAUCAACGAUAGAAACUUGCGUUCGUGCGCCUAAACAUGUUUGCGCGACGAAUUAUCGUUCGGGAGGUACGUACCAUGGCGAAGGCGCCGGAGGCGAGGGCACCUAUCUCGCCGAGGUGCUCCUUGUGCUUGUGCUCCUUCUCCUCCUUCCGGUACUUCUCAGUCUCGCCCCGGGACGACCCGUACUCCUGGUCGUCGCCGCCAGAUUUUUUGUACCCGCCGCCGAUGUACUCGUCGUCGCCACCGGACUUCUUGUAUCCGCCGCCGCUGUACUCGUCGUCGCCACCGGACUUCUUGUAUCCGCCGCUGCUGUACUCAUCCUCGCCGCUGGACUUCUUGUACCC